GACGAACGCUUGGCGACGUGCCUAAUACAUGCAAGUCGAGCGGACGUUUUGAAGCUUGCUCCANAAACGUUAGCGGCGGACGGGUGAGUAACACGUGGCGCAACCUACCUUAUCGACUGGAUAAACUCCGGGAAACCGGGGCUAAUACCGGAUAACAUCUAGCACCUCCUGGUGCCGGAUUAAAAGAGGGCUUCUUGCUCUCACGAUGAGAUGGGCCCGCGGCGCAUUAGCUAGUUGGAGAGGUAACGGCUCCCCAAGNCGACGAUGCGUAGCCGACCUGAGAGGGUGAUCGGCCACACUGGGACUGAGACACGGCCCAGACUCCUACGGGAGGCAGCAGUAGGGAAUCUUCCGCAAUGGACGAAAGUCUGACGGAGCAACCCCGCGUGAGUGAUGAAGGGUUUCGGCUCGUAAAGCUCUGUUAUGAGGGAAGAACACGUACCGUUCGAAUAGGGCGGUACCUUGACGGUACCUCAUCAGAAAGCCACGGCUAACUACGUGCCAGCAGCCGCGGUAAUACG
rnacentral:rRNA from 1 species